UCAAAUUAUGUGCCGCCCCAUUCCAGCCUCGCCACUUGGUGGCUUUGCCUCCUACCAACCGCGGCCAUCUCACCCGGGCCCGUUCCGUCGCUGCGGUGGCCCGCAAGCGCCGCGAGCAUCCAUGGCGCCGCUGCGCCCGCAACCCCCUAGCUCGUGCCCCUCAGCCGGACUCCCCCUAUGGUGCUCGCCAGAGCGAGCCGUGCUGCUACCGUCUGUCAUCCCUGCUGAUUUCUUCUCGCCAAUAGAGUUACGCAAGAGUGUCGGAGUGUGACGAUUUGUUCGACUAUGUUGGUUCGUCUACUUCACGGAUUCGUUCUCCUUUCAAGCGGGAUCAGAGGCAAGAUGAUCAUUUCCCUGGAUACCACUACUAUCAUUGCUUUGGUAGUUGUCUCACUUCUAUUGUUAUGUCUCCUUACCUACCACCCAAAUGUCAAGCCUCCAAACAUUGCCAUGAAAAGCCUCUACCCCCUCCACAUCCUAGCAAACCUUUGUUUGGCUAUGUUACCACUUGCUCAGCCUUCUUAUAGUGUUGCUAGUUGCAGCUGCAGUUGAUUCCAUAUGCCAACAUGGAUUUAUUGAGAUGUCACAAUAUUAUUGCUAUUUUAACUAAUGCACAUAUAUACUUGGUAAAA